UGGCUCAGGACGAACGCUGGCGGCGUGCCUAAUACAUGCAAGUCGAGCGGACUUCUUAAAAGCUUGCUUUUAAGAAGUCAGCGGCGGACGGGUGAGUAACACGUGGGCAACCUGCCUGUAAGACUGGGAUAACUUCGGGAAACCGGAGCUAAUACCGGAUAAUAUAAGGAACCUCCUGGUUCUUUAUUGAAAGAUGGUUUCGGCUAUCACUUACAGAUGGGCCCGCGGCGCAUUAGCUAGUUGGUGAGGUAAUGGCUCACCAAGGCGACGAUGCGUAGCCGACCUGAGAGGGUGAUCGGCCACACUGGGACUGAGACACGGCCCAGACUCCUACGGGAGGCAGCAGUAGGGAAUCUUCCACAAUGGACGAAAGUCUGAUGGAGCAACGCCGCGUGAGCGAUGAAGGCCUUCGGGUCGUAAAGCUCUGUUGUUAGGGAAGAACAAGUGCGAGAGUAACUGCUCGCACCUGAC
rnacentral:rRNA from 1 species